AUGGCCUAUGGAAAUAAUAAGGAACCAUCUCUUUUUGCUGUUGCCAAAUUGUUAGAAAUGGAAAUGGGUCUAGUUAACAUGCACCAAAUAGAAAUUCUUUGGAGACCUCUACCUGGCCAUCUACUUGAGGUCUGCCAGCAUCCAAACUCUCAAAUGAGAGAAUGGGGAGCAGAAGCUUUAACUUCACUUAUUAAAGCAGGAUUAACAUUUAACCAUGAUCCUCCACUUUCACAAAACCAGAGGCUGCAGUUGCUUUUAUUGAACCCAUUAAAGGAGAUGUCUAGUAUUAACCAUCCAGAUACCCGACUCAAGCAAUUAGAAUGUGUGCUGCACAUUCUUCAGAGUCAGGGAGACAGUCUUGGACCUGAAUGGCCAUUAGUACUUGUAGUCAUGGGAGCAAUCAGAAAUGAUCAAGGAGAAUCCUUGAUACGAACUGCAUUCCAGUGUCUUCAGUUGGUCAUGACAGAUUUUCUACCAGCAAUGCCUUGUACGUGCCUGCAGAUUGUUGUAGAUGUUGCAGGUAGCUUUGGACUUCAUAACCAAGAAUUUAAUAUUAGUUUGACUUCAAUAGGUUUAUUGUGGAAUAUUUCAGAUUAUUUUUUCCAAAGAGGAGAAACUAUUGAAAAAGAAUUAAAUAAAGAAGAGGCAGCCCAGCAAAAGCAGGCAGAAGAGAAAGGAGUUGUUUUAAAUCGGCCUUUCCAUCCUGCACCACCUUUUGAUUGCUUGUGGUUGUGUCUUUAUGCAAACUUGGGUGAACUCUGUGUGGACCCCCGUCCUGCUGUGAGGAAGAGUGCAGGACAAACUCUGUUUUCAACAACUGGUGCACAUGGAACUUCAUUACAGCAGUCAACAUGGCACACUGUUAUUUGGAAGGUUCUUUUUCAUCUACUGGACCAAGUUUGGGAGUCUUCUACCACCGCAGACAAAGAAAAGAUUGAGUCUGGGGGUGGCAGUAUUCUCAUUCAUCAUUCAAGGGACACGGCAGAGAAGCAGUGGGCAGAGACCUGGGUUUUAACAUUGGCCGGAGUAGCAAGAAUCUUUAACACUAGAAGAUACUUACUGCAACCUUUAGGAGAUUUUUCAAGAGCAUGGGAUGUUCUUCUUGACCAUAUACAGUCAGCAGCACUCAGCAAAAACAACGGAGUGUCUCUGGCUGCACUGAAAAGCUUCCAGAAAAUUUUACAGAUUGUGUCCCCCGUCAGAGACUCAGAUAAGCCCGAGACACCACCAGCAGUUAAUGUACCUGUGCCUGUCCUUAUAGGGUCCAUAUCAGGCCCUGGCCUGAACAGGCAAUUUGUAAGAACAGAUUCCGUUGGAGAGAGACUUGGAAGAUAUAGUAGCUCUGAGCCACCCAUAGUUACCAAUGAGCUUGAAGAUUUGGAUCUCUGGUGGGCUGCAUGGAAUACCUGGUAUAGAAUCAGAUUGGAAAGCACUAAGCCUCCUGUUACUUUUGACAAACUGACUUCCAUUCCCAGCCAGCCUUUCCUUACCGCUUUAAUUCAGAUAUUUCCAGCUCUCUACCAAUACAUAAAAACUGGUUUCAACAUGGAUGACUUGCAAAAGCUGGGAGUCAUAUUACACAGUGCUGUGUCAGUCCCAAUAAGUUCAGAUGCAUCCCCUUUCACUCUUCCAUCUUAUACUGAAGCAAUUUUGACAAGUUUACAGGAAGCUGUGCUUACAGCUUUAGAUGUUCUCCAAAAGGCCAUCUGCGUGGGGCCAGAAAAUGUGCAGGUAAUGUAUCCAGCUAUAUUUGACCAGUUAUUGGCAUCUGUGGAAUUUUCCUGUAAACCUCAACAGUAUGGACAGCUAGAAACCAAGCAUAUUGCAAAUGCAAAAUAUAAUCAGGCAGAAUGGGUAGACUUGAAUUAGGUACCAUUUGCUGAAAGGUCUUUAGAAGUAGUUGUGGAUUUAUACCAAAAAAACAGCCUGUCACAAAGCAGUCGUGAAUGAGAAGGUACUCCAGAAUAUUAUUAAGACACUUAGGGUUCCUCUCAGUUUGAAAUAUUCCUGCCCUUCUGAAAGCACAUGGAGAUUAGCAGUAUCUUCUCUCCUCAAAGUUCUUUCUAUUGGGCUACCUGUUGCCUGGCGGCAUGCUUCUUCUGGAAAAUUUGACAGUAUGUGGCCAGAACUAGCCAACACUUUUUAAGACUUUCUCUUUACUAAAAGCAUAUCUCCAGAUAAUCUCUCUAUUCAAAAAUUUCAAAGAAAUGAAAGUAUUGAUGUUGAGGUAGUUCAGCUUAUCAGCACUGAGAUACUACCUUAUGCCAAUUUUAUUCCUAAGGAAUUUGUCGGUCAGAUAAUGACUAUGCUUAAUAAGGGCUCAAUACAUUCUCAGUCAUCUUCAUUUACAGAAGCAGAGACUGAUAUUCGUUUGAGAGAGGAAUUUUCUAAAAUGUGUUUUGAAACAUUGCUCCAGUUUUCCUUCAGUAACAAAGUCACAACACCUCAAGAAGACUACAUCUCACGAAUGGCACUCUCAGUGCUUUUAAAGAGAUCUCAAGAUGUGCUGCAUCGUUAUAUAGAGGAUGAAAGAUUAAGUGGUAAAUGCCCUCUUCCAAGGCAACAAGUAACAGAAAUCAUAUUUGUUUUAAAAGCAGUCAAUACUCUCACUGAUUCACUUAAGAAAACUCAGCUUGAGAAUGUUGGUGGAAAUACCUGGGCACAAGUGAUUGCUUUAUACCCAACUUUAGUAGAAUGCAUCACCUGCUAAUCUGCAGAAGUCUGCUCUGCACUUAAAGAGGCACUAGUUCCUUUUAAGGAUUUCAUGCAACCACCAGCAUCCAAAGUUCAAAAUGGAGAAUCUUGGCCAGCUACAAUAAUUUUAAAGAAGAAAGCUAUCUCAAGAAUGUUUGAUCCUCAGUGA